rnacentral:rRNA from 1 species
UGCCAGACUCCUACGGGAGGCAGCAGUGGGGAAUAUUGCACAAUGGGGGAAACCCUGAUGCAGCGACGCCGCGUGAGUGAAGAAGUAUUUCGGUAUGUAAAGCUCUAUCAGCAGGGAAGAAAAUGACGGUACCUGACUAAGAAGCCCCGGCUAACUACGUGCCAGCAGCCGCGGUAAUACGUAGGGGGCAAGCGUUAUCCGGAUUUACUGGGUGUAAAGGGAGCGUAGACGGCUGUGCAAGCCAGAUGUGAAAGCCCGGGGCUCAACCCCGGGACUGCAUUUGGAACUGUGUGGCUGGAGUGUCGGAGAGGCAGGCGGAAUUCCUAGUGUAGUGGUGAAAUGCGUAGAUAUUAGGAGGAACACCAGUGGCGAAGGCGGCCUGCUGGACGAUGACUGACGUUGAGGCUCGAAAGCGUGGGGAGCAAACAGGAUUAGAUACCCCCGUAGU